GAGAAAUUGAGAAAUGGUGGAGGCCUACGGGCUAGAGGUGCUCAUGGCCAAGGGCCUCCUGAACCACCGUAGUGACGUCAGCUUUUCCUUGAAGGGGUUUGUGCCAAAGAAUGACGUGAUCUGACUCUUAUUUUAACAGGGAUGUCUUGGCUGCCGUGUCUCGAGAGGGGACAAGUCCGGGAGCAGGGAAACCAGUUUGGAAGCUGUCGCAAUUACCACGAGCCCGGCUGAGAUCACCUGGGGGGUGCUUUCAGCUAGACUGGAUCAUUGAAGGAGACUGUGAUCUGAGCAGAGAAUACAAGGAGAAUGCAGAUUGGAGUUCUGGUAGCCAUGGAGCCUGCAGUUUGGACCUGGAUUGGAUUUUCUAAGUGGCCCAACAAAAUGGCAGCCCUGUUGCAAAAGCCCAGGAGUAAUGGCUCAUUUCUGGGUGAAGCAUGUUCAGGCAUAAGAGCUUCUUGUCAGGCUGGAUUUGAUGAAUGAAGUAAAUACAUCUAACUA